CCGAUACCUCCAUAGCGCUGUCUCCGCCGGACAAUACCUACACCAGGACAGAGGGGGACACGUUACCGGACAUCACCUGUACAGCGGACUGUAGACCUGGCUGUACCUUUGUCUGGACACGACCGGACAACACCAACUUUACUGUCUCACCUGUGUUGACACUGGGACAACUGUACAGAUCAGAACAGGGGACGUACAGGUGUACUGCUGGGAAUGUUGUCGGGGAGUCGACUAUAAUAACCAGUGUUACUGUACAGUACGGACCGUCAACCGUAAGUCUGACUCCACCAACUGUGUCCUACACUCGUACAGAAGGACAGACUAUCCCCACCAUCACGUGUUCUGCUGACUGUAACCCGGUCUGUACCUACAGCUGGACAAAGGAUGGACAGUCCUAUACAACAGGGUCAGGUCUCCAACUCACCAACAUACAGCGUGGUCAGGGGGGCGUGUACAGGUGUACGGCCAGUAAUGGGUACGGGAGUGACGUCAGCGUCAAUGUCAACGUCAUUGUAAAUUAUGGUCCAAGUACAUCCAUAGCUCUAUCCCCGUCCGACAAUACCUACACCAGGACAGAGGGUGACACGUUACCGGACAUCACCUGUACAGCGGACUGUA